GGGCCUGUGAUGACCAAAGCGUUUCUCGAUCCUGAUUGUUUUUAUUUUAAUAAUAAUAUUAAUUUAGAGACCAAUCUUUGAUGACUGUAUUUUUGCGUGCCUGAGCCUA